CCUACGGGUGGCAGCAGUGGGGAAUAUUGGACAAUGGGGGCAACCCUGAUCCAGCCAUGCCGCGUGUGUGAAGAAGGCCCUCGGGUUGUAAAGCACUUUCAGUGAGGAAGAACGCCUGGUGGUUAAUACCCAUCAGGAAAGACAUCACUCACAGAAGAAGCACCGGCUAACUCCGUGCCAGCAGCCGCGGUAAUACGGAGGGUGCGGGCGUUAAUCGGAAUUACUGGGCGUAAAGCGCGCGUAGGUGGCUUGAUAAGCCGGUUGUGAAAGCCCCGGGCUCAACCUGGGAACGGCAUCCGGAACUGUCAAGCUAGAGUGCAGGAGAGGAAGGUAGAAUUCCCGGUGUAGCGGUGAAAUGCGUAGAGAUCGGGAGGAAUACCAGUGGCGAAGGCGGCCUUCUGGACUGACACUGACACUGAGGUGCGAAAGCGUGGGUAGCAAACAGGAUUAGAUACCCGGGUAGUC
rnacentral:rRNA from 1 species